rnacentral:tRNA from 1 species
ACUGAAACCAAAAAGAGGUAUAUUAUUGUUAAUAAUAAGAUUGAAUAUAAAUUCCAGU